rnacentral:rRNA from 1 species
CGCCUGUUUAACAAAAACAUUUCUUUUGAUUAUUUAAAAGGUACCUUCUGCCCUAUGAGUAAGUAUUAAAUGGCUGCAGUAUUUUGACUGUGCAAAGGUAGCAUAGUAAUUAGUUUCUUAAUUAGGAGCUUGAAUGAAUGGAUGGAUGAGAUGUAUAUUUUAUUAACUUUUUUAUUAAAAAUUUAAAUUUAAGUAAAAAUGCUUAAGGUAAUUUCUGGGACGAUAAGACCCUAUAGAACUUUAUAUUGAUUUUCUUCUUUGGUUUUUAGUAUAUUAACUCUAUUAACAUAUUUAAUGUUUUGCUGGGGUGGUGAGUAAAUUUAAACUUUAUUUUGUUAAAUCAAUUUUUAUUGUUAUUUUAGGUCUUCAUUAGGAAUUAUAAGAAUAAGUUACCUUAGGGAUAACAGCGUAAUCUUAAUGGAAAGUUCACAUUUAUAUUAAGGUUUGCGACCUCGAUGUUGAAUUAAGAUUAGUUAGAGAAGCAGUUUUCUUUACUUCUAGGUCUGUUCGACCUUUAAAUUCUUACCUUGAUCUGAGUUCAGACCGG